UGGGGAAUUUUGCACAAUGGAGGAAACUCUGAUGCAGCGACGCCGCGUGAGUGAUGAAGAUCUUCGGAUUGUAAAACUCUGUCCUUAGUGAAGAUAAUGACAGUAACUAAGAAGCAAGCCCUGGCUAAAUACGUGCCAGCAGCCGCGGUAAUACGUAUGGGGCAAGCGUUGUCCGGAAUUAUUGGGCGUAAAGGGUACGUAGGCGGUUUAAUAAGUCCUAAUUAAAAGGCUAUGGCUCAACCAUAGUAUGGUUAGGAAACUGUUGAACUUGAGUAGAUGAGGGAAAGUGGAAUUCCAUGUGUAGCGGUGAAAUGCGUAGAUAUAUGGAGGAACACCAAUGGCGAAGGCAACUUUCUGGAAUCAAACUGACGCUGAGGUACGAAGGCGUGGGGAGCAAACAGG
rnacentral:rRNA from 1 species